rnacentral:rRNA from 1 species
GUGGGGAAUAUUGGGCAAUGGGGGAAACCCUGACCCAGCAACGCCGCGUGAAGGAAGAGGGUUUUCGGAUCGUAAACUUCUAUCCUUGGUGAAGAUAAUGACGGUAGCCAAGAAGGAAGCCCCGGCUAACUACGUGCCAGCAGCCGCGGUAAUACGUAGGGGGCAAGCGUUGUCCGGAAUGAUUGGGCGUAAAGGGCGCGUAGGCGGCCUGGUAAGUCUGGAGUGAAAGUCCUGCUUUUAAGGUGGGAAUUGCUUUGGAUACUGUCGGGCUUGAGUGCAGGAGAGGUAAGCGGAAUUCCCGGUGUAGCGGUGAAAUGCGUAGAGAUCGGGAGGAACACCAGUGGCGAAGGCGGCUCUCUGGUCUGUAACUGACGCUGAGGUUCGAAAGCGUGGGUAGCAAACAGGAUUAGAUACCCGAGUAGUCC